rnacentral:lncRNA from 1 species
AACCAGAAGGAGAAGGCAUAAGAAAAAGGAAACAAGAAAUGACAUUGAGAAAAAGGCAAAGAAUAAGUAGAUGGUUGUACUGCUCCAGCAUGUUGUCUGAACCCAGAGAGAUGACUCACACUGUGGGGACAAAUAAGAUAAUUUUCCUGACAGUACCAGGGUGAGCUUACUUUUCCUCCCACAAACGCCAUUUAGGAGGCCCUGC